rnacentral:lncRNA from 1 species
UGAAGGGCUAAGCUGUAUAAGUUAUCUACUACAUACUCAGGAAUGCUAAGGUGUGUUGGUGCAGGUAACUUGAGAGCUUCUGAAGGUAUGUCUACCAUCAUCCAAACAUCAAAACUCAGUUAGACAGCAUUGAACUAGAAGAGAAAAUAGAAUUUGGAAGGUAUUUGUGGAAGAGGAAAGUGGAGAAUGAAGAACAGGAAACAGCAAGUGAAAGGAAAAAAGAAGCUUCUCUUCCCAUAAACAUUGAAGACAGAAAUGGGGAAAUCUUCCAUCCCAUAAGAGAUGUAAACAGAUAG